rnacentral:lncRNA from 1 species
GAUGACGUUGUACGACGCGCCAUGCAGACGCGACAGAAUGAGCUCCCCGGUGCCGCUUCGCAGACGACCGUAGUUAAGAGGCGCGAGGAACCCCUUCAAGCCACUUCGGGCGCGUGGAGAUAUUUCUUGUUGUCCGAUUACUUGGGUCGCCGGUUUUCUCUCGUGAUUUGCGUCAAGCCUUGCAGUCAUUUUCCAGAGCGGGACGACGCCGACUGCAGUCAUUAAGUUACGAGUACGCUACCCGCAGAAUUACAUUCUUCCUCAGGAUUGUGUCUGUCACUAACAGAUGCUUCUUACAAUUAUGCCGCUGGCCUGGAACGUCGGCAAAGUCAUCCUGGUUCUUAAGAAGGGUUCUACAUCAUCGAGUCCCUACUACUGGCCCAUUUUAUAAACUAGCAUUUCAUUGGCAUCGCAUUUUUUUCUAAUACUAUAUAAAAUCCUCAACCGUCGUG